UCUGUUGCCUUCAUUUGCACAAAUACACUAUACCCCUUUUACUCAUUUUUAAUGGAUUCAGCGAAUGCAAAUAUAACCUUAUCUUAUCAUCUGUUUUUCAAUUCGCCUUGUUCUAUGUUGCGUACCUUCAGCAAGGCAAUACAAAAAAACACGGCUUUCAGUGUGGUAGGCAGGAUAGAAAAUAAAAUAUAAAUUAUAUAGGUGUCUAUGUAGUCAUGCAGUCAUUGCUUAAAGCAGUUGAAGAGCAAUUAGAGUUGCUUGAGGUUAUAAGACAGCCACUAAAUAGGUCCUAGACCAUAACCUACCAUUUGUCAGGCCAGGUAGACCUACAAUAUAUUUCAUAUAAUCCCAAGAAGACAAGCUGGGAUCCGGUGUUUUUUCUCAUCCAAUAUAUAUUAAUAUAAUUUUUAAAUUCCACCGAAUUUCAAUAACAAAUGUUAACGAUUUGCGUCAGUAAUGACAUUACUGCUCAUACAGAUGUACAAAGUUUCACUCUUCUUUCAACACUGUUGCCUGCACCCGUUAGUUUUGAGCUUAAUGAUAAAACAAAGAUCGUGUCAAGCAAUUUUAUUGUAUUCUAUUUUACUAUUUAAACUGGCCAUAAAAGCCCGCUCGAGAUUAGACAUUCUCACAAAUCAAAAAAAUGAUCAUGAUCUAUCAUUGCAUCCGAAAGCAUUUUGAAGGUGGACCAACACCCUAUCUAUUUAAGAGAUAUGCUCCUCACAAAAGAUACUCCUUUCGUCCACAUUAAUGAGCAAUGUGUGCGUUUGUAUCACGUCCGAAGACAAGCUGUUUAUUCCUCUGCUUGCAGAAAUCGACGGGCCACUGAAUCGCAAUCGAGGACACGGUAUCGGAGCUGCUUAAAGUAGUGACACGCCACUCCCAUUUGCCGAACGCUUUGUAUUGCCUCGGCUCCGAUGACUCAAGCAACUGAUAUACUGAAAGUGAAGUAGUUUAAUGGGAAGAGUCUCAUAUUGCAUGAGAAUAGUAGACUGAGGCGCCCAAUAUGAUAGGUCAUGUAACAGAUUAUAUGAGCCCCGGCUAAGUCCACAGACAUUAGCGCCAAUCAACCAUGGCUUUUGGAUCAGAGCCAUGUUGAUUACAUGUUGAUAGGACUAUGUACAGAGAUGCUGAUAGCCUUGUGGCAUGAUACAGGUUCACCCUAAUCAUUCCCAUGUCUGGUCAAGGAGUAAGAGCCGGUUUUAGCGUAACAGUUUAACCUCUUUUGAUUUCACGCUGUUUAUUUAAUUACGCUCAACAACCAUGAUUUCAUAUUCGAAGUCUGAAAAAACAACAACCAGCAGUAGUUCCAACCCAAGGGGACAGAUGACCUUUCCAGGUCUGCCUUCACAGUGUCGUGACUAUGGGAGGUGGGGGCAGGAACGGUGAAAUCUGUAGCACUCGGGGGGCUUUUGCGGUACAGGUUAAAGCCUGCAAAUAUACUUUAUAAUCAGCAUCAAGCUGUCAUGAGCGACUUAGCCUCAUGGCAUUGCUCGUUUACUGCGAAAUGUCUUGAAUUAGUAUGCCAGAAGCCUUCAACAACUCAAUACUACUAGCGAGCGACGUUUGGAUUAAGGUCAUCAGGAAAAUAGCAUUGCCAAGAGUCUGGGCAUCGAGCUAAUCCAAUUGGAAAAUGUUACCCUGUAAACAAGCUGUCUGCCUAUGUGUUAUGUAGUCUUGAUUAGCACUAAUAAUUUUACUCGGAUCUUUAUGAAAUCCUCACCUAAUAAAUAUGGCACCCAAGUGUGUUUUAUAUAUGUGCACUUUGCGCAAGGCCCUAGCUUUGAAACGAAGUUUUUAACACUUUUGGGCGAAAGGUAAAGAUAAUCAAAUAACAAAAUAUAUGUUAAAUCUAUACUCACCAAGUUUGGUGUAUGUUGCUCUUUUAAUUUUUUUGUUUUUUGCCGCAAUAAAGAGGGGAUAUAGAGCUGCUGAACAGGCAGACACAAAGCCCCAGUACGUAGAGCCCAUGGACGUAGCCUCCUCAUAAAAGAAGUGACAGUUGAUGGUAUAAAUUAAGUCCCAAGAAUCGGGGAAACUUUCAUAACGAUGACAAGGGGUAGACCACAUCGCUUCUAGCACUGGUCAAACCGAAGAGGAAUACAAAAUAACUGAGGCCCAAUUGAUAUAGUCAAAUAAUAGACAGACAACAUAAGCUCAAGCACAAAUAAAUCGUUUGACAAACACAGCAAACAAAAUAUAUUAAAUAUUGAAAAUGCACUUUAUUAUUAAAUACCCUAAGAUCAACUCUUUCUGCAAGAGUCAUCAUCUUUUCAGUAUCGCACAACAGACAACAUUCCAGAGAUGGAUAAAGUCGGUAGCCAACUUGUAAGCUUCGACCGCAUUGUCGUUAUCAACAGUAUUAAGCUCCCCUAUUAAACAUACCCGUAACGAGCUCAAGGCCGACGCGUCAACAAAGGCCGUAGAUAAGGGGUAUUUUUCCAAGCGCUAAUAAGCGGUGCUACCGUCAGCGGUCUUGCCCUCCUCAAACGGUAUUUGAGAAGGAGGGAAGAGAAACGUAAAAUCAGCAAAUUGGUAGCAUAAAAUUUGUAUGUAUUUGUCUCAACAUGCCUCCAACGGGAAAGCAGUUAACUGCUGAUGCUAUUGGCGGUUUCACCAGCAUCACAACGGCAGCCUUCAAGAACUUGUUGUAUAUUAGCUGACAAAACAUAAGCAACAGUCAAUAUUGCAGUAGUUAGCGACAGUUUAUGAUAACUUUACGACUUGGACGAGGCACAAUCACGAUACCGCAACUUACAGCUAGGGUUCAGUGUUAAGAACUCCUUUGUAUUAAUAACUUAAGUGGCAAUUAUAACGGGCAGUCACAAAUAUUAAUUUAUUUAUCAACCAAUUCUGGUAGCUUUCAGGCUAUCUCUAAUAUUACAUUAUAAUUAAUAUAGGUAAAAAGAAACCAUGAAACAUAAAGAAUAUAUAAAUUUAUUAGUUUUGAAGAAAGAAUUCUUGAAGCUCAUGUUGACCAGAGCGCUAUUGGCAGAAGAAUCAAAGAGCAUUUUAGUUGGGAGAUUCUUUUAAAGCUUUAAUGAUCGUUGCUGGCACAAGCAACUCUAUGAGUCCCUGCUCGGCACAUUAAAGUUAGAACAUGCUUGAGAGACGAGCAGUCAAUAAUUCUUACAAGUGCUUAAAAAUGCAGCACUGUUAUAACUCUUCUAUCUUCCAGCGAUGAUAAUAAACAUGUUAUAUAGAAGUAGAAGUAGACCACGACAACUCCCAUAAGGUGCGGACAAAGUAUUGCUGAUGCAUACGCGAUUAUAACUGUUGGGCUAACAAAUAUACGUCUUUUUCUUAUAAAAUCAUGCAA